CCUACGGGAGGCAGCAGUGAGGAAUAUUGGUCAAUGGGCGGGAGCCUGAACCAGCCAAGUCGCGUGAGGGAAGACGGUCCUAUGGAUUGUAAACCUCUUUAGGCGGGGAGCAAUGCCGGGCACGCGUGCCCGGAGGGAGAGUACCCGCAGAAUAAGCAUCGGCUAACUCCGUGCCAGCAGCCGCGGUAAUACGGAGGAUGCGAGCGUUAUCCGGAUUUAGUGGGGUUAAAGGGUGCGUAGGCGGAUUUUUAAGUCAGCGGUAAAAUGUACGGGCUCAACCCGGGCCGGCCGUUGAAACUGGGGAUCUUGAGUGGGCGAGAAGUAUGCGGAAUGCGUGGUGUAGCGGUGAAAUGCAUAGAUAUCACGCAGAACCCCGAUUGCGAAGGCAGCAUACCGGCGCCCGACUGACGCUGAGGCACGAAAGCGUGGGGAUCGAACAGGAUUAGAUACCCCUGUAGUC
rnacentral:rRNA from 1 species